AAGACCUCAAAUCAGGUG
rnacentral:rRNA from 2 species